UGGGUUGUAGCUCAGUGGUAGAGCACUUGCUUAGCAUGUGUGAGGACUUGGGUUUGAUCCUCAGCACCACAU
rnacentral:tRNA from 1 species